rnacentral:rRNA from 1 species
UACGAAGGGGGCUAGCGUUGCUCGGAAUCACUGGGCGUAAAGCGCACGUAGGCGGAUUGUUAAGUCAGGGGUGAAAUCCUGGAGCUCAACUCCAGAACUGCCUUUGAUACUGGCGAUCUCGAGUCCGGGAGAGGUGAGUGGAACUGCGAGUGUAGAGGUGAAAUUCGUAGAUAUUCGCAAGAACACCAGUGGCGAAGGCGACUCACUGGCCCGGUACUGACGCUGAGGUGCGAAAGCGUGGGGAGCAAACAGGG